rnacentral:rRNA from 1 species
GAUUCUGGCUCAGAACGAACGCUGGUAGCGUGGAUUAGGCAUGCAAGUCGAACGGGAUCCGGGAGGUAGCAAUACUUCCUGGUGAGAGUGGCGGAUGGGGAGGAACACGUGAGCAACCUGCCUUUGGGUCGGGGAAAACCGUUGGAAACGACGGCUAAUACCGGAUGUGGCGCCCGGUGACAUCACUGGAGCGCUAAAGGGGGCCGCAAGGCUCUCGCUCGUAGAGGGGCUCGCGCACCAUCAGCUUGUUGGCGGGGUAACGGCCCACCAAGGCCUACGGUUAGCUGGUCUGAGAGGAUGACCAGCCCCACUGGGACUGAGAUACUGCCCAGACUCCUACGGGAGGCUGCAGUCGAGGAUCAUUUGCAAUGGGCGAAAGCCUGACAAUGCGACGCUGCGUGGAGGAUGAAGGCCUUCGGGUUGUAAACUCCUGUCAUGGGGGAACAGGCGAGGGGACCCAACACGUCCCUUAGUUGAGUGUACCCCAAGAGGAAGCGACGGCUAACUCUGUGCCAGCCGCGGC